rnacentral:rRNA from 1 species
CGGACGUGAGGAACCUGCCUCAAAGAGGGGGACAACAGUUGGAAACGACUGCUAAUACCGCAUAAGCCCACGGCUCGGCAUCGAGCAGAGGGAAAAGGAGCAAUCCGCUUUGAGAUGGCCUCGCGUCCGAUUAGCUAGUUGGUGAGAUAACAGCCCACCAAGGCGACGAUCAGUAGCCGACCUGAGAGGGUGAUCGGCCACAUUGGGACUGAGACACGGCCCAA